rnacentral:misc_RNA from 2 species
UUGAAGAUGCAGUUCAGGCUGCACAAGAUUUAUUUCUUGACCCAAGGUGUUUAUUACCUGGAAAGCUCAUAGCCAUAUAUCCUCAGAAGUGGGGAAAGAGCGUUUUUACAUGAUUGAGGGUUGGCACUCAAUCUAUCUCUAAACCAUUUUUAAUGGGUUAUUUA